ACAGAAGCUGUGGAAGGCGCCAUCCUGCCUGCCACAGGAAGGGCCUUGGACUGAGAGGACCGGAGCUGACUGGGGAUUAUUCAAAGCCAAAAGCCAACAGAGCCCCCAUGGAGAAGUGGAGGAUGCUCAGAUACUGCUAUGGAGCCCUGAGAAGUGAAAUGGGUCCAAGCCCUUGCCCAGGAUAGAGCGCUCCAAGCGCAUCCUCCGGGGACCCUUUUAAUCAGUGAAUUGUUCACCUCUCACUGUUUCUUCCCAGCAGAGCUAAGAGACUUCUAGAGCCUCUUGUGGAUGGUCAGCGAUAGCCCUGAUUGAACAUUUGAGCAAGACCAGAUGCCUUUAUAUCCAAUAGAUGCCACGGAGAGUAGAUCACAACACAUCUAACUGCUGUAUCCCCAUAUAAAAUAAUUUUAAUUUUCCUAGA
rnacentral:lncRNA from 1 species